UACGGAGGGGGCUAGCGUUGUUCGGAAUUACUGGGCGUAAAGGGCCGCGCAGGCGGCUGCUCAAGUCAGGCGUGAAAGGCCUGGCUCAACCCGGGAAUUGCGCUUGAGACUGGGCUGGCUAGAGUGCGGGAGAGGAGAGUGGAAUUCCUGGUGUAGCGGUGAAAUGCGCCAGGAUAUCAGGAAGAACACCCGUGGCGAAGGCGGCUCUCUGGAACGCAAC
rnacentral:rRNA from 1 species